UGGAGUUGCUAGUAAUCGCGGAUCAGCAUGCCGCGGUGAAUACGUUCCCGGGCCUUGUACACACCGCCCGUCACACCAUGGGAGUUGGGAGCGCCCGAAGCCGGUGAGGUAACCGAGAGGAGCCAGCCGUCGAAGGUGAGACCAAUGACUGGGGUGAAGUCGUAACAAGGUAUC
rnacentral:rRNA from 1 species